AUGAACGCUGGCGGCGUGCCUAAUCCCUGCAAGUCGAGCGAACAGACGAGGAGCUUGCUCCUCUGACGUUAGCGGCGGACGGGUGAGUAACACGUGGAUAACCUACCUAUAAGACUGGGAUAACUUCGGGAAACCGGAGCUAAUACCGGAUAAUAUAUUGAACCGCAUGGUUCAAUAGUGAAAGACGGUUUUGCUGUCAUUUAUAGAUGGAUCCGCGCCGCAUUAGCUAGUUGGUAAGGUAACGGCUUACCAAGGCAACGAUGCGUAGCCGACCUGAGAGGGUGAUCGGCCACACUGGAACUGAGACACGGUCCAGACUCCUACGGGAGGCAGCAGUAGGGAAUCUUCCGCAAUGGGCGAAAGCCUGACGGAGCAACGCCGCGUGAGUGAUGAAGGUCUUCGGAUCGUAAAACUCUGUUAUUGGGGAAGAACAAAUGUGUAAGUAACUAUGCACGUCUUGACGGUACCUAAUCAGAAAGCCACGGCUAACUACGUG
rnacentral:rRNA from 1 species